AGUGAACGCUGGCGGUAGGCCUAACACAUGCAAGUCGAACGGCAGCACAGUAAGAGCUUGCUCUUACGGGUGGCGAGUGGCGGACGGUUGAGGAAUACAUCGGAAUCUACUUUUUCGUGGGGGAUAACGUAUGGAAACUUACGCUAAUACCGCAUACGACCUACGGGUGAAGGCAGGGGAUCUUCGGACCUUGCGCGAUUGAAUGAGCCGAUGUCGGAUUAGCUAGUUGGCGGGGUAAAGGCCCACCAAGGCGACGAUCGGUAGCUGGUCUGAGAGGAUGAUAAGACACACUGGGACUGAGACACGGAACAGAAGACUACGGGAGGCAGCAGUGGGGAAUGGUGGACAAUGGGGGCAAGUGGGAUCCAGCGAUGAAGCGAGAGUGAAAAAGGCAUUCGGGUUGGAAAGAGCGUUCGGAGAGAACGAAAAGGGAGGGACUAAUACGCAUGUAUGAUGACGGGAGAGAAAGAAGAAGCACCGGCUAACUAGAUG
rnacentral:rRNA from 1 species